GGAGUUAGCUCAGCUGGAUAGAGCGUCUGGCUACGGACCAGAAGGUCGGGGGUUCGAAUCCUCUACUC
rnacentral:tRNA from 1 species